AGCGAACGCUGGCGGCAGGCCUAACACAUGCAAGUCGAACGAACCCUUCGGGGUUAGUGGCGGACGGGUGAGUAACACGUGGGAACGCGCCUUUAGGUUCGGAAUAACUCAGGGAAACUUGUGCUAAUACCGAAUGUGCCCUUCGGGGGAAAGAUUUAUCGCCUUUAGAGCGGCCCGCGUCUGACUAGCUAGUUGGUGAGGUAAAGGCUCACCAAGGCUACGAUCAGUAGCUGGUCUGAGAGGAUGACCAGCCACAUUGGGACUGAGACACGGCCCAAACUCCUACGGGAGGCAGCAGUGGGGAAUUUUGCGCAAUGGGCGAAAGCCUGACGCAGCCAUGCCGCGUGGAUGAUGAAGGUCUUAGGAUUGUAAAAUCCUUUCACCGGUGAAGAUAAUGACUGUAGCCGGAGAAGAAGCCCCGGCUAACUUCGUGCCAGCCGCCGCCGUAAAAC
rnacentral:rRNA from 1 species